CUAUACCGCAUUAAAAUAACCGUGUAUUUAUCAAGUUCACUACACACCCCUUAUAAUUUCUCUGUAAUUUAUCCGCCCACGACCCAGAGAAAGCCUUUCUAUCCUUCGGUUCAAACCACCAGAGACAAAAUGAGCUACAACCAGCAGGGAGGCUAUUAUCAGGGCCAGCCACAACCAGGCUAUCAACAAACCACGACUGUUUACUCCUCACAACCACAAGUCGUAUAUGUGCGGGACGAGCAUUGCCACCGUGACGGUGAUGCCCAGAUGGCUGCGGACUGCUGUUUGUUAGCUUGCUGUUGGACAUUGUUAUGUUGCUGUCUGACCAGUAAUUAACUCUGGCAGUCGUCUCUAUUAUGCAAAAACGGCUGCCAGAAUGUGACUGGAAUAUGUUUGUAAAUUGUCUUGGAUUUUUUCCAAGGUUGACGUAUUAUAUGUGUAUACAAGAUGAAAAAUGGACUUACACUUUCCUGAGAUGACCCUCAAUUUUCUACAGCUAUAUCCAUAUUGUUGAGAUUCCAUAGAUAUAUCAUGGCAAUUUUUUUUGAAAGACAUGUUUACUGAGAAUGGCGAUGUUCCAUUCCACACUUGGACGUAACUUCCUCCUCUAGUUGACAACCUGUACAAUGUUUCCUGUUUGAAUAGCUAUCUUGGACCAAUAAGUACUUGCGAUAGUAGAAUGUGUUAAGCAUAUAUCGUACUCUUGCAUGGGAGACGGC